GGGAGGCACUGACAGGUCCCCAGCCAGGCUAUCGCGCCCUCUCAGGCGUCUCAAUCACCUCUCCUAUAGGAAUAGUGUGUUUUUUUUUGUACAGGAAGUGUCUUCGCCACCCUCCAGCCCUCUUCUUCCCCUCUCCCUCAGUUUCUUGCUGCCGUCCCGCCGGAUCCCACAGAUACAGGACGUGAGCACGAUGCCACGAUGCCCACCCCGCUGCAUGGGGAAGCGGGGCUGAGGAUUUGGGGGAGUGUGGAUGGAGGGCAAACCCGGCUGCUUGCCACCACCUCCUCGCAGACAGCCUUACACAGGAAGGCGUUGCAAAACACCCAUCCCACAGCCCUGUUCCCAGAAUUUGGGCUGUUACAUGGGAAAGAUGCCCCCCUGCUUCCCUCCCCAGGAUGCCCUUGGGCAGAGCUGGCUGCUGGGGUGAGCCCAGCAACGUGCCGUGGUGCCGUGCAGUCAGCGCCAGCUUUGCACAACGUGGGGUUUUUAUUACGCCCCACUUGCCCCGUUCAGCCCAGCUCCAGCUUGGAUAAGCUCAGAACUUUUUGCAAACAAUCUGUGAAUGAAGAAAGCUUCCUGCCCCUGCUUAGCAAAGGCAGCCCUUCCCUUCCUCCCCAGCACUCAAUGACCGGACAUGUGCUGGGACACAGACUGCAGCACGCGUGUAUCCGCCUGGCCGUAAGCAGAAAGCGGGGUGCAGGCUGGGGACCCCACUGCCCUUCUCCAUCUGCCGCACAGCCCUCAAAAACACAUCCUCUGCUCCCAGUGCCACUUGUCCCUGUGCUGUCCCAGCUGCCCAAAGCAGCCUCAGUUGCUCUGCAGGGCACAGAAGGACCCAUUGUCACUGCUGUGCCAGCCCCCGCCCCGGCGCCAGCUGCUGCAGGGACCGGGUGGUGGCAGAGAGCAGUGGUGGCACCAUGGUGGCCACGCUGGUGGUGGCCCUGCUGCUCCUCUGCUUGGCUGCAGGCACAGAGGCCAGCCCGGAGCUCAGCGAAGCUUCUGGCUGAGUGUCAGGACCAGCAGUGGUGCCAGUUCUCGGUGCACAGCCAAGUGUUCGGGCCGGACCCGUGCCCCGGCACACACAAGUACCUCAUCGCAUCCUACAAGUGCCGGCCAGAUAACCAUCGGGUGAAGACGGUGUGUGAGAACAACGAGCUGAGGCUGCACUGCCGGCCGAAAUCCGUCCUGGCCAUUUACUCUGCGCACUACGGACGAUUCCUGCGGGGCAAACCCGAGUGCGAUGCCCCCAACGCUGGGGGACCCCAUAUUGAGUGCCUGGCCCCGGAUGCAUUGCGGAGGGUCUCCAAGAAGUGCCACCGCAAAGGGAACUGCACGGUGACUGCCGACCAGGCCACCUUUGGGGACCCAUGCCUGCCCGGCACGAGGAAGCAGCUGCGGGUGUCCUACACCUGUGUGCCCAAGCAGCUGCUGGAGGAGGUGGGUCCAGACACCUCGGACCCCUUCCUGCUCUCAAACUACAUGCACGGUGGCUGGUACAAAGGGCCCAGGUUCUCCAGGCUCCGGGAAGACCGGAUGAUUUUUACUAGCUCCCUGGCAGCUUUUGCCCAGCUCUGGGGUACGUGGCCCCAAAGUGCUGGGUUGGCGGGGGAUCUCCAGGCCCAGGCUCCCUGUGUGUUGCAGCGGGGUGUGCACCCCGAUGCCUCUCUUUGCUCUUCUCCUCCACCAGAUGUCCCUGAAAAAGUCGCCCUCUACUUUCUCUGCGGGGUGUCGGCGGGCCUCGCUCUGCUGCUGUGCAUCGUCAGCCCCAAGGCUGGCUUCCUGCGGGAGGCCAGGGAGGCUCUGCUGGGCCCAGGUGGCCGCUCAGAGGCAAGCAGGACCAAACUGCGGGAUGAGCAGGAUGAAGACCUGCCCGACGACAGCUCCUCCGACUCCUCCUUCCGCCGCCUCACCCGUGCCUACCGUGCCACUGACAGCAUCUUCGGCCCUGAGCUGACAGCGGCCAUGGAGGGAGCGGCCGAGCAGCAGGGCCGUGGUGGGGAGGAGAUCUGGAUGCCCAAGGAAGCCAGUCCCUACACCAUCCAGAAGAUCAAAUCGGCCACCAAGUGAGGAGGUGAAGGACGAGGCGCUGUGCCAGGUGUAGUGUUGGCUCUGUGCCUCCCUUCGUGCUUGGCAUGCUGGAUGACGGUACUUCUCGCUCCUCCUCUCAACCCUGAGGCUGUGCCAGGGCAGCCAUCCCGGAGCAAACACCUCGCAGCAGAUGCUUCUCAUCCCUCCAUCACCUCCAGAGCACCCGAGAGCCCCCCAAGGGCGGUGCUGCAGGGACUAGAAAUUCCUGCUUCCCCCCAUUGAGCCACGCAGACACCGACCCUGCCCGGGCAGCUCACCACCACACAGCUGCAGGCUGUUGGCUGGGGAUGGCACCCCGCAGGCGGCUGCACCCAUUUCCCAGGUGUGGGUGUGGUGCGGCCCAGAGGAUUUCUGUGGGGGGAGCACAGCCCUCGGGGGGCUCUCCUCAGAGCACAGCCGAGCUCAGCUCCACUCGGGCCUCAGAGCCUCGGGGCCAAUGGUGGAGAAAGCUAUUUAGUCAAUAAAGGAACCUCGUAAACAA